rnacentral:rRNA from 1 species
CCUACGGGGUGCACCAGUGGGGAAUAUUGCACAAUGGGCGCAAGCCUGAUGCAGCCAUGCCGCGUGUAUGAAGAAGGCCUUCGGGUUGUAAAGUACCUUCAGCGAGGAGGAAGGCGUUAAGGUUAAUAACCUUGGCGAUUGACGUUACUCGCAGAAGAAGCACCGGCUAACUCCGCGCCAGCAGCCGCGGUAAUACGGAGGGUGCAAGCGUUAAUCGGAAUUACUGGGCGUAAAGCGCACGCAGGCGGUCUGUCAAGUCGGAUGUGAAAUCCCCGGGCUCAACCUGGGAACUGCAUUCGAAACUGGCAGGCUAGAGUCUUGUAGAGGGGGGUAGUAUUCCAGGUGUAGCGGUGAAAUGCGUAGAGAUCUGGAGGAAUACCGGUGGCGAAGGCGGCCCCCUGGACAAAGACUGACGCUCAGGUGCGAAAGCGUGGGGAGCAAACAGGAUUAGAUACCCCUGUAGUC